CUGCCUGGGGUGGAGAGAAAAUUAGGGGUGAGACCUGUAGAAAGCCUUCGCAGGUGCCUGCACUGCUGCACACUGUGUUGGAGCCGACAGGAGUGGGGCACAGGAUCAACCAAGACCAGGUCUCAGUCCUUCAAGAGCUAAUCUGUCCAUCCCCAGCCACCCUUCUUCGCAGCCUCCCCUCAAAGGACACCAUUAUCCCUGCAAAGAGAGGGAGCUAAGGUAUUCGUUUUCCUCCCCACAGCACACCUGGGACUUAAAGUAAGUCUCCUGGGGUGUGGAGAGUACAUCGGCUGAGGCGAUGUCCAGAUGCAGCAGGAUCUGUCGGAAUGAUGGACGAUUUCGUGGUUUGCUGUUCCUGGAGGAAGUGGAGUCGUGGGAGAGAAAGGAAUUUCAGGGAGGUCCAGAAAGGAACUAGAGCAUCCUUUCCCAAAGGGUGUCCUGGAGAAUCCAACUCUACAAUGAUUCUGUGACAAAACUCCCUGGUCAACUAUCUAGGAAAUGUUACAGGCCAUCUGUUAGCAUAUCAAAGUCCUGCAGCCCUGGAAGAACCCCCCACCCCGCCAGCUCUCAUGCUGGCCACCUGCUAUUCUCAGUCCUCAGCCUGGCCCUCACCAGAUGUCGACCUUCUCAGACACAGGCUCGUUGCGGAUCACUUCAGGGGCCAUCCAGGCUACUGUCCCUGCAAAGGACAUCUUGGUGCUCUUGUCACUCAGCUCCUUGGAAGUGCCAAAAUCGGAGAUCUUCACCACAUCGUCGUACGUGAUGAGCAUGCUGGUAAAGAGUGUAGUCAGCUGGGGCCCGGGCCCCUCCACGCACCUCGUCUAGCUGCAGCAACUCUACCUUUCUGUUUGAAGUCAUCUGGGACACCCAGAAACGGGGGGUUUAUCACAGCCCUCUUGAGAUAGGGCUAUCACUUAGGAGGGGUUUCUGAGAUGGCCACAUGGACUUUAGGACAGGGUCUGAAAGCAGGGAGAUGGUCACACUGACCUGGGUGGGGACACCUACAGGAGACCGUGCACAGUAGCUUCUCCCUGCUUGCUUGCUUACUCACUUGGGGGACUUGAGGUCUCGGUGGAUAAUCUUGUGCAGGUGCAGGUAGUUCAUGCCGCCGGCAAUGCCCAUGGACCAGUCAACCAGCAAGGAGGGGGUGACAGGGCGGCCAGCCCGCAGCACCUCAUACAGCUGGCCCUGAGCGCAGAACUCCAUAAGGAUGCAGUAGCAGGGAGCCUGGGUACACACACCCCUGGGAGCCAAACACAGUGGCAUGAGGGGCUCAGCCAGCCCAGCAUCCACUUGGUUCACACCUGGCACCCCCAUUCCCACCCACGCCUUUCUGGCACCCGCUUCAGGAAGGGUGCGGUAGAUCCCUGCCCUCAAAAGAGUACCCCGGCCCCUGCCCCAGACCUUACUUGAAGGUGAUGAUGUUAGGGUGCUUCAGCUUUCGCAGGUGCUUGAUGUCAGUCUCCUUCAGGUCCCGUACCUUCUUCACAGCCACCUCCUCCCCAUGGAAGCGCCCCAGGAAGACGGCGCCCUGGGCCCCUGAGCCCACCCACUGCAGGUCCAGGAUUUCCUCAAAGGGGACCUCCCAAAGGGGACACAGUUCGAGCCCUGGUCCGGGAAGAUCCCACAUGCUGCGGAGCAACUAAGCCCAUGCACCACA